rfam:Desulfamplus magnetovallimortis isolate PRJEB14757 genome assembly, scaffold: MTBBW1_scaffold45
CCUAAUGUUCUGCCAUCAAUACCCUACCUGCUGAAUAAAGAGCGUGGGGACAAAGGAAGCCUCAUCUUCGGAUGGUCAUCAAACCGUGAGGGGAGAUGGCGACUGCGAGCACCGAUGCGGUUGGGAGC